GCAAAGUGAAAUGUUUCCUCUCAAGGCUCUCUUGGCAGCAAGUGAUCCAAAAGCAGCGUUCUGCUGCUUUCUGGAGAGAGCAUGCAUGCACUCAAUGCUUGUCUCAUCUUUUUGAAAAGCCAAAUUAAAUCUCUUGAGAAGAGAAUGAAAUGUGGCAUUAGGAUCCAGGCUCGGUAUUAGACUCCAACAUGGACAUGAUACGUAUUUUGCAGUAAAGCAUGGGAAGCAGAAUUCUGUUGGGUAUCCUGAAGGCUGGACAAUCUUUUCCUGCUUGCUGAAAGUUUAGAAGACAUUGGAGCAUCCUCAGAAUUCUUAAGGAUAUAAGAUGGUGAUCACGCUGUCCAUCAAUAAUACUAGAAAGCUGUCAGAAUCUCAGUUUUGAGUCACAAGGUUGAGUCUUUUUUGGAGAUUCUGGGAAUUUGCAAAUUCCACAAACAUCUUUUGUGGAAAAAAACUUUGUGUUUUUUUCCCACUUCUCCACAGAGACAUACUGACAAUCAAAGAGCUGACACAUCAGACACACCAGGAACCAUGGAAAAGAUUAGGAAAAGCUCCUGUUCCAUGAAGAAUACAGAACUGAAAUCCUGCCCCUAAUGAAGUGUAAUUUUGUACCAUCCAGAGAGUGGGACCAAGAACCUCUGAGAAGAAUGGCAAGAAUACACUCUAAUAGGAAUGAAAAAAGUGUGAGAAAAUGAAUGGAAUAACAAUGAUGCCAUUUUCAAAACCAGGUUUGCUUGGUGGCUCUUACAGUUCUUUGCAGCAAGCAAAUUACUUCAUUUUCUUUCACUGAAUUUUAUAGAAAUACCAUUAAGAUACUUCUGAUAAUGUGGGAAUAGAGUUGAGAAGUAAAGUAACCCUCCUUAUGAUGCUCAUUCACUUGCUGAUUAGGAAAUCUAAAAGAGCAGAAAGUCUAUAUGGAAAGCAGGCACAUUAGCUUCUACAAUAUCACACCAGAUGAAUAUUGUUUUCUUGAAUUGCUCACUAAACUGUGAGGGUCACAAUUGCUGAUACUCUUCAGUACUGAUCACUGCAAUACAAAGAAGAGCACAAAUGAAGAACACUGCUGAAUGCUAAAUUCUGGGUGGCAAAGCUAACUUAAUUUUGUUAUACGUACAUAAAUGAGCAGGGAGGCUAAUAUUUCAAUUAAUUAGUAGAAGAUGAUUUCAGUGAACAAUUUGUAUCACUUACUGCCUUGAUGUUCCUCAAAAUUCCUUUUCAUCAUUCCGUGAUGUGAUUUGUGUAUUAUGCUGCUGAGAUUCUUCACUUUGAUUUGUUAAUAUACUGCAAAUUACUUCAAGAAGUAGCAUGAGGAGAAAAAUUCAUAAGAAUAGAGUCCAUUCUGAAGUCAACAUUAGUGAAAAAACAGUAACUUGAAAUAAACAGAAUUGCACAAGCAACAUGGAUGUAAGAUGUAGGUGAAUCUUAAGGUCAAUUUAUGUUUAAAUUAGAAUCAAAUAACCAUUAAAAUCAUUUACAGAAGACAUCUGGGCAUUGAAGCUGGAUUGUGUAUGAAAAUUGUUCUCCUUUUCUUGGGCUCAGCAUUAAUACAGUUGCCAUUCCUAAAUUACUUCUGAAGAUUGCCUUUUGUAUUGUAAUGGAAUUGUUGUGCAAAUAUGGCUUACUACAUAAAAUUAGAGCUGUUAUACUGUCCCUUAUGGUUUUGUGCUAAUCUAUAAAGAGUUUAGUGUGUCCGUAUAAGUCACAGCAGUUUCUGCCCUCUGGUGCCCCACAGACUGUUCUGCUAUGCCUGGCACUGAAAAUAAAUGCAAGUCCUGC
rnacentral:lncRNA from 7 species